UGGGGAAUAUUGGACAAUGGGCGCAAGCCUGAUCCAGCCAUGCCGCGUGAGUGAUGAAGGCCUUAGGGUUGUAAAGCUCUUUUGUCCGGGAAGAUAAUGACUGUACCGGAAGAAUAAGCCCCGGCUAACUUCGUGCCAGCAGCCGCGGUAAUACGAAGGGGGCUAGCGUUGCUCGGAAUCACUGGGCGUAAAGGGCGCGUAGGCGGACUUUUAAGUCGGGGGUGAAAGCCCAGGGCUCAACCCUGGAAUUGCCUUCGAUACUGGGAGUCUUGAGUUCGGAAGAGGUUGGUGGAACUGCGAGUGUAGAGGUGAAAUUCGUAGAUAUUCGCAAGAACACCGGUGGCGAAGGCGGCCAACUGGUCCGAAACUGACGCUGAGGCGCGAAAGCGUGGGGAGCAAACAGG
rnacentral:rRNA from 2 species